AUUGAACGCUGGCGGCAGGCCUAACACAUGCAAGUCGAGCGAGCGGCGGACGGGUGAGUAUUGCCUGGGAAUUGCCCAGUCGAGGGGGAUAACAGUUAGAAACGACUGUUAAUACCGCAUACGAUUGGAUUUCUCAGGUGGGGUUAGCUAGUUGGUGAGGUAAUGGCUAACCAAGGCGACGAUCCCUAGCUGGUCUGAGAGGAUGAUCAGCCACACUGGAACGGAGACACGGCCCAGACUCCUACGGGAGGCAGCAGUGGGGAAUAUUGCACAAUGGGGGAAAGCCUGAUGCAGCCAUGCCGCGUGUGUGAAGAAGGCCUGCGGGUUGUAAAGCACUGUCAGCGAGGAGGCGUUACUCGCAGAAGAAGCACCGGCUAACUCCGUGCCAGCAGCCGCGGUAAUUC
rnacentral:rRNA from 1 species